GUGUUAAUUCAAGAACAUGGAAUCUAAAUCUAUAUUUUUUAUGUUAUUUCGGUUAGAAUCCUGCUCUCUAAAGACUUUUCAAAGCAAAAUUGCUGUUCACUUUCCCAAAUAAUUUCGUGAUAGUCAAAUAUUGUUCGUCGAGAUCUGAGAUUGGCAGAUGUGCGCUUGUUUGGCUUCGAGAGACGUAUGACUCAAACCACCUACCAACUGACUCAUAGUUUUGAAGACAAGGAGCUAGAAAGGCAUUCAACAAGAGUAAUAGACAAUAGUUAAAAGAAAACUGCUGGUAGCAUCGUCUAUAUGGAAAAAAUUGUAUUAUUCUAGCAAAAAAUUUAAAUGAGCCCAUUUGCCGCCAUAUUGAUUCCACUGUUGCCAUCUAACUACUUUCCAUCCACUAGAAUAAGAAUUCGAAGAAGAGCACCUUUUUCUCGACCAUUCCAAAUUUCCAAUUCCAAUCCAAAAUGACGUAGAACCGAAA